GCGCUUGCUGCCGCAGCACACACGCUAAAAUUGAAACGUACAGAGACUAUCACAGCCCCUGCCCAACGAUGGCACACAAAUUCCUGAAGCAUUCCAUAUUUUU